UUAUCAAAUUAGCAAAAUGGCAUGGGAAUGGACAAAAAUACCCUCAUCUUUAUUAUGAGAAGAAGAUGAAGACAGGGGUAAAAAUGUCAUUUCACGAAUGGAUGACGAGGGUAUUUUUGUCCAUUCCCAUGCCAUUUUGCUAAUUUGAUGACGUGGCAGUGAUUAAGUUGGUCAAAGGACGAAAUUUUAAAUGAUUAAACAAUGCAAGGGUAAAUUGUCAAGAUUAGCGAUUACAGGGACUAAUUUUUAAAUGAC
rnacentral:lncRNA from 1 species